rnacentral:rRNA from 1 species
GAAAAGUGAGCGGAUGAACUGAGGGUAGCGGAGAAAUUCCAAUCGAACCUGGAGAUAGCUGGUUCUCUCCGAAAUAGCUUUAGGGCUAGCCUCAAGUGAUGAUUAUUGGAGGUAGAGCACUGUUUGGACGAGGGGCCCCUCUCGGGUUACCGAAUUCAGACAAACUCCGAAUGCCAAUUAAUUUAACUUGGGAGUCAGAACAUGGGUGAUAAGGUCCGUGUUCGAAAGGGAAACAGCCCAGACCACCAGCUAAGGUCCCAAAAUAUAUGUUAAGUGGAAAAGGAUGUGGCGUUGCCCAGACAACUAGGAUGUUGGCUUAGAAGCAGCCAUCAUUUAAAGAGUGCGUAAUAGCUCACUAGUCGAGUGACACUGCGCCGAAAAUGUACCGGGGCUAAACAUAUUACCGAAGCUGUGGAUUGUCCUUUGGACAAUGGUAGGAGAGCGUUCUAAGGGCGUUGAAGCAUGAUCGUAAGGACAUGUGGAGCGCUUAGAAGUGAGAAUGCCGGUGUGAGUAGCGAAAGACGGGUGAGAAUCCCGUCCACCGAUUGACUAAGGUUUCCAGAGGAAGGCUCGUCCGCUCUGGGUUAGUCGGGUCCUAAGCUGAGGCCGACAGGCGUAGGCGAUGGAUAACAGGUUGAUAUUCCUGUACCACCUAUA